rnacentral:rRNA from 1 species
AUUGAACGCUGGCGGCAGGCCUAACACAUGCAAGUCGAGCGGCCGUAGCGAUACGGCAGCGGCGCACGGGUGAGUAACGCGUGGGAACCUGCCCUUUGGUUCGGAACAACCCUGGGAAACUAGGGCUGAUACCGGAUGAUCCUCGGCGAGGAGGGAAAGAUUUAUCGCCGAAGGAGGGGCCCGCGUCCGAUUCGCGAGUUGGUGGGGUGAUGGCCUACCACGGCGACGAUCGGUAGCUGGUCUGAGAGGACGACCAGCCACACUGGGACUGAGACACGGCCCAGACGCCUACGGGAGGCAGCAGUGGGGAAUAUUGGACAAUGGGCGCAAGCCUGAUCCAGCCAUGCCGCGUGAGUGAUGAAGGCCUUCGGGUUGUAAAGCCCUUUUGGCGGGGACGAUGAUGACGGUACCCGCAGAAUAAGCACCGGCUAACUCCGUGCCAGCCGCCGCCGUAAGAC